rnacentral:lncRNA from 1 species
UGUACUUGAAGGUGUUUGCCUUUGCAUAAAGUGACAUAGGAGUAUCAUUGGUCAAGGCAAUGGCUUUCAGUGUUUCUGCUUUGAAAGAAGAUGAUGGAAGUGGUGGCUCGGAUCUACAGGUCAUCGCUCUCUACCAAACCAGACUGCAUUGUCAGAUGGACUGGAUUUGCCUCUGGCUGGAAAGCUGCUUUGAUGUCUAGUCCUUGGUCACACAGUGCAGCGUAUCGGCUGGUUGAGGGCCGCACCUUCUUUGGCUUGGUUGUUUGAGGUGGUUGUUGCCACUGAGUGUAAACAUCCAACCUGGCAGUGCAAGACACAAUCCCGGCCUCAUUCUUAGCUGAAACGGUGUACCAACCAGCAUCCUCUUUUGUAGCUCCCUGAAUAAGCAGGCAGAUGUAGCCAUAGUUGUCCUGGUGCAUGCUCACUCUGUCAGUAUUGUGUGUGAUUGACUCGUUCUCUUUCUUCCAAAAUAUCUGAGGUGAUGGUUCCCCCGAGAUUCGACACUCCAGUCGCACUGGAAAUCCCUCAGUCACACCUGUGUUCUGUAGUUUCUCUAUAAACACAGGUGCUUUGUGUACUUCCUUAGCUGCAACAAUGAGCUCCAGGCUGAAUGUAUUUUCUCCAGCUCGAUUGCUGGCGACACACGUGUAGAUUCCCGCAUCCCUCGCGGUGACCGGUUCUAUGAUCAGGGAGUGCACCCCGUUCUCACGCACCAGCAUUUUGUGAGAGCUGUCAGGACGAAUGGGUCUUCCAUUUAGUUGCCAGCUUAGAUCAGGUGUUGGUAAUCCACUAACCUUGCAGUCCAUCCUGCAGAGUUUUCCUUCUUGGACAGUCAGGUCUCCAGGGGCCUGCAGAAAAUGGGGCCGGAAGAAUCGCUCCUGAAUUGGUUCGUUUUCAUCACCACUGUCCCUUGAUCGAGACCGCGGCCUUCUGAUAUGAGGCUGGCCAGGAGGUGUCCAAGGGCUGCGGCCUCUCUGAUUUACAGCCUGAACCAUCAGCCUUCCUGUGCAGCUUAUUCUGCCCUGUGGGUUAGCAGCCAUAAUAGUGUAAUUCCCAUCAUCAUCCAGGGUGGAGGCUGCAGUAUGCAGUGAGCAAGUUCCAUCAGGUUCUCUUUGAAUUCGGUAGUGAUCACUUCUCUUAGAAAUUUGCUUCCCAUCUUUAAACCAAUAAAUCUUUGGCUUUGGAUUUCCCGUCACUUUGCAGGUAAAUGUGACUGGCAUUCCCUCAAAGACUUUGUAAUGCUUCAGCUUUAUCUCAAAAUAUGGUGACGCACUGUUAUCAAUAGGUUCAUCUCCAUGUUGCACCUCAUCAUCUGAUUCCUCCACAGGAGAUCUCUCCAGCCUGUAUUCAAUUUCACUGAUCAAUCUUUGCUCAAAGCUGGAGACUUUAUAUUCCUGUAUUGCAGGCUCCUCUUCUGGUUCCUGUAUAUUGAAGACAGUUGCAGCACUGUCUGCUCCCAGCAAUCGACGAGCCAUUUUUUCUUCAUAUGUUAAUCUCGGUUGCCCGUUGUUCAAAA